UACGGGGGGAGCAAGCGUUGUUCGGAUUUACUGGGCGUAAGGGGCGCGUAGGCGGCCACCGCAAGUCGACUGUGAAAUCUCCGGGCUUAACUCGGAAAGGUCAGCCGAUACUGCGGGGCUAGAGUGCAGAAGGGGCAACUGGAAUUCUCGGUGUAGCGGUGAAAUGCGUAGAUAUCGAGAGGAACACCUGCGGCGAAGGCGGGUUGCUGGGCUGACACUGACGCUGAGGCGCGAAAGCUAGGGGAGCGAACGGG
rnacentral:rRNA from 1 species